rnacentral:rRNA from 1 species
AACAGGAUUAGAUACCCUGGUAGUCACGCCGUAAACGAUGUCGACUUGGAGGCUGUUCCCCUGAGGAGUGGCUUCCGGAGCUAACGCGUUAAGUCGACCGCCUGGGGAGUACGGCCGCAAGGUUAAAACUCAAAUGAAUUGACGGGGGCCCGCACAAGCGGUGGAGCAUGUGGUUUAAUUCGAUGCAACGCGAAGAACCUUACCUGGCCUUGACAUCCAGAGAACUUAGCAGAGAUGCUUUGGUGCCUUCGGGAACUCUGAGACAGGUGCUGCAUGGCUGUCGUCAGCUCGUGUUGUGAAAUGUUGGGUUAAGUCCCGCAACGAGCGCAACCCUUAUCCUUUGUUGCCAGCGGGUAAUGCCGGGAACUCAAAGGAGACUGCCGGUGAUAAACCGGAGGAAGGUGGGGAUGACGUCAAGUCAUCAUGGCCCUUACGGCCAGGGCUACACACGUGCUACAAUGGCGCAUACAAAGAGAAGCGACCUCGCGAGAGCAAGCGGACCUCAUAAAGUGCGUCGUAGUCCGGAUCGGAGUCUGCAACUCGACUCCGUGAAGUCGGAAUCGCUAGUAAUCGUAGAUCAGAAUGCUACGGUGAAUACGUUCCCGGGCCUUGUACACACCGCCCGUCACACCAUGGGAGUGGGUUGCAAAAGAAGUAGGUAGCUUAACCUCCGGGAGGGCGCUUACCACUUUGUGAUUCAUGACUGGGGUGAAGUCGUAACAAGGUAACC